rnacentral:tRNA from 1 species
GAGGGUAUAGCUCAGUGGCAGAGCACAUGCUUAGCAUGCAUGAGGUCCAGGGUUCAAUCCUCAGUACCUCCA